UACGUAGGGUGCGAGCGUUAAUCGGAAUUACUGGGCGUAAAGCGUGCGCAGGCGGUUCGUUGUGUCGGUGGUGAAAUCCCCGGGCUUAACCUGGGAAUGGCCAUGGAAACUGGCGAACUGGAGUGCGGCAGAGGGGGGUGGAAUUCCGAGUGUAGAGGUGAAAUUCGUAGAUAUUCGGAAGAACACCAGUGGCGAAGGCGGCUCUCUGGAACGCAACUGACGCUGAGACGCGAAAGCGUGGGGAGCAAACAGG
rnacentral:rRNA from 1 species